GAAAUGCGAUAAGUAAUGUGAAUUGCAGAAUUCCGUGAAUCAUCGAAUCUUUGAACGCACAUUGCGCCCUCUGGUAUUCCGGGGGGCAUGCCUGUCCGAGCGUCAUUGCGAACCCCUCAAGCACGGCUUGUGUGAUGGGCCCUCCCGCGUCUUGGUCGUCAAGACGGGCCCGAAAUGCAGUGGCGGCUUCGCGGUUAUCCGAUCAGCCAGAGCGUAUGGGGACUUUCUCACUGUCACACGCCCGCGGCGCGGACCGACGCCUGUCGACCUUUAUUCAUCUUUUUCUCGGUUGACCUCGGAUCAGGUAGGGAUACCCGCUGAACUUAAGC
rnacentral:misc_RNA from 1 species